AUUGAACGCUGGCGGCAGGCCUAACACAUGCAAGUCGGACGGUAGCACAGAGGAGCUUGCUCCUCGGGUGACGAGUGGCGGACGGGUGAGUAAUGUCUGGGGAUCUGCCCGAUAGAGGGGGAUAACCACUGGAAACGGUGGCUAAUACCGCAUAACGUCGCAAGACCAAAGAGGGGGACCUUCGGGCCUCUCACUAUCGGAUGAACCCAGAUGGGAUUAGCUAGUAGGCGGGGUAACGGCCCACCUAGGCGACGAUCCCUAGCUGGUCUGAGAGGAUGACCAGCCACACUGGAACUGAGACACGAUCCAGACUCCUACGGGAGGCAGCAGUGGGGAAUAUUGCACAAUGGGCGCAAGCCUGAUGCAGCCAUGCCGCGUGUAUGAAGAAGGCCUUCGGGUUGUAAAGUACUUUCAGCGGGGAGGAAGGCGAUGUGGUUAACAACCGCGUCGAUUGACGUUACCCGCAGAAGAAGCACCGGCUAACUCCGUGCCAGCCGCCGCCGCGG
rnacentral:rRNA from 1 species